GACGAACGCUGGCGGCGUGCCUAAUACAUGCAAGUUGAGCGCUGAAGGUUGGUACUUGUACCCACUGGAUGAGCAGCGAACGGGUGAGUAACGCGUGGGGAAUCUGCCUUUGAGCGGGGGACAACAUUUGGAAACGAAUGCUAAUACCGCAUAAAAACUUUAAACACAAGUUUUAAGUUUGAAAGAUGCAAUUGCAUCACUCAAAGAUGAUCCCGCGUUGUAUUAGCUAGUUGGUGAGGUAAAGGCUCACCAAGGCGAUGAUACAUAGCCGACCUGAGAGGGUGAUCGGCCAAAGUGGGACUGAGACCCGGCCCAAACUCCUACGGGAGGCAGCAGUAGGGAAUCUUCGGACAUGGACGAAAGGCUGACCGCGCAACGCCGCGUGAGUGAAGAAAGUUUUCGGAUCGUAAAACUCUGUUGGUAGAGAAGAAAGUUGGUGAGAGUGGAAAGCUCAUCAAGUGACGGUAACUACCCAGAAAGGGACGGCUAACUACGUG
rnacentral:rRNA from 1 species